rnacentral:rRNA from 1 species
UAACAGAAGAGUUUGAUCCUGGCUCAGAAUGAACGCUUGCGAUACGCUUCACACAUGCAAGUCGAACGAAAUUUUCAUAUUGAAGAUUUAGUGGCGAACGGGUGCGCAAUACACGAGAACUUGCCUAAUAGUUCAGAAUAAGUAUAUGAGUUUUCACUCAGAACUUGAGUACUCUCGGGUACUUAAGGUACAAAUACUGAAUAAUCAAAGAUUAAUCGCUAUUAGAUAGGCUCGUGCAGGAAUAUGGUAGUUGGUAGAGUAAUAGCCUACCAAGCCUGUGAUCCUUAGCCGAUCUGAGAGGAUGGUCGGCCACACUGGGACUGAGACACGGCCCAGACUUCUACGGAAGGCAGCAGUGGGGAAUCUUGGACAAUGGGCGAAAGCCUGAUCCAGCGAUAUCGCGUGAGUGAUGAAGGCUCUUUUGGUUGUAAAACUCUUUUAUCGAGGAAGAUAAUGACGGUACUCGAAGAAAAAGCCCCGGCUAACUCCGUGCCAGCAGCCGCGGUAAUACGGAGGGGGCUAGUGUUAUUCAUAUUAAUUGGGCGUAAAGGGCAUGUAGGUGGUUAAUUCAGUUGAAAGUACAAACCCUGAGCUUAACUUAGGGAGGUCUUUCAAUACUAAUUAACUUGAGUUUGAUAGGGGAUAGUGGAAUUUCUAGUGUAAGAAUAAAAUCUAUAAAUAUUAGAAGGAACACCUGAAGCGAAGGCGACUAUCUGGAUCAAUACUGACACUGAGAUGCGAAAGUGUGGGGAGCAAACAGGAUUAGAUACCCUGGUAGUCCACACUGUAAACGAUGAGUGUUAAAUAUUGGGUAUAAAUACUCAAUGUUACAGCUAACGCGUCAAACACUCCGCCUGGGGAGUAUAAUCGCAAGGUUGAAACUCAAAGGAAUUGACGGGGACCCGUACAAGCGGUGGAGCAUGUGGUUUAAUUCGAAACAACGCGCAGAACCUUACCAGCUCUUGACAUUAAAUUUGAAUCACGAGAGUGAUUCAUUAUAACAGUAAUUGUUAAAUUUAAUACAGGUGUUGCAUGGCUGUCGUCAGCUCGUGUCGUGAGAUGUUGGGUUAAGUCCUAUAACGAGCGCAACCCUUAUCACUAGUUGCUAAUCAUUUAUUGAUGCACUCUAGCGAAACUGCCUGUGAUAAACAGGAGGAAGGUGGGGAUGACGUCAAGUCCUCAUGACCCUUAUGGGCUGGGCUACACACGUGCUACAAUGGUAAUGACAAUAGGAAGCAAUGAUGCGAGUCGGAGCAAAACCUCUAAACAUUACCUCAGUUCAGAUUGUUCUCUGCAACUCGAGAACAUGAAGUCGGAAUCGCUAGUAAUCGCGGAUCAGAACGCCGCGGUGAAUACGUUCCCGGGUCUUGUACACACCGCCCGUCACACCCUGGAAGUUGGUUUUACCCGAAGUUAUUUAUCUAACUGAUUUAGUAGUAACAAUUAUUAUUCUAUUUUAUAUUUAGAAUAGUAGUUACUAAUAUUUCAGAGGAUGGUAAUCAUGGUAAGAUCGGUGACUAUGGUGAAGUCGUAACAAGGUAGCCGUAGGGGAACCUGUGGCUGGAUUAACUCCUUU